rnacentral:tRNA from 1 species
AGAGUGAUACCCAAGAGGUUAAAGGGCUCUCUUGCUAAGGGAGUGGGUGUGUAAAAGCACGCGAGGGUUCGAAUCCCUCUCACUCUGCCA